rnacentral:rRNA from 1 species
AACGAACGCUGGCGGCAGGCUUAACACAUGCAAGUCGAACGCCCCGCAAGGGGAGUGGCAGACGGGUGAGUAACGCGUGGGAAUCUACCCAGUUCUACGGAACAACUGAGGGAAACUUCAGCUAAUACCGUAUACGCCUACGGGGAAAGAUUUAUCGGAAUUGGAUGAGCCCGCGUUGGAUUAGCUAGUUGGUGAGGUAACGGCUCACCAAGGCGACGAUCCAUAGCUGGUCUGAGAGGAUGAUCAGCCACACUGGGACUGAGACACGGCCCAGACUCCUACGGGAGGCAGCAGUGGGGAAUAUUGGACAAUGGGCGCAAGCCUGAUCCAGCCAUGCCGCGUGAGUGAUGAAGGCCUUAGGGUUGUAAAGCUCUUUCAGUGGGGACGAUAAUGACGGUACCCACAGAAGAAGCCCCGGCUAACUUCGUG